UGAGUGUGUGGCGUGGACACGGGAGCAACGCCAAAAGCCAACGCUGGGUAAACCCUUACCCGACACUCUUCCUGGGUUACGAAAGGCCACCGGCGAAGAAGAGACGCUGCCUCAUCAGGACUCAUUAUUUCACAACAACAGAUGAGUCUGGUGAGAUGGAGGUUUCUGAGGAGCCAGGUCCUAUUUCAAAGACUUUUCACGAUGCCCAAACACAGUGGGCAGACCCAGCAAUGGAGGACCACAGCUACUCCAAAGGAGCAACCGUCACAUGUGGCUUAACAACAACACCAUCCCCUGAGAGAUCGCUGUCUGUUGCAGAUGUUACACUGAAAGAUGAUGCAGACUGCCUGCUCUACACAGGGAUUCCCCUACUAGAGUUCAACACUCUUGUGUCUUACCUACAAGGUUUUGCCCCCACAUGAUCAUCAGUGACGCUUCAAAAGGUCACCUGGUCAGAUCAGCAAAACACUGAGAUUCUGGAUAGAUGUGAUUGCUGAGCACACCAAGGAUCUCAUUCCAUGGCUGCCUCGUCAAACGAUAAAGGCCGCCAUGCCACAGGUUUUUAAGGACAAUUUUACAAACACAACUUGUAUAAUUGACUGCACAGAAAAUGUUUUGCAAAAAGCUAAAAAUCUGGACUCAAGAACUAAAUCUUGGAGUCAAUAAUACUGUCAAGUAUCUUAUAACAACUGCUCCAUAUGGAAUUCUUGUGCUAAUUUCAGAAGCUUAAGGUGGCAAAUGUAGUGAUAUGUUCAUUACACAGAACUCGGGGUUUCUUGACCAUUCAUGUGCUGGAGAUGAGGUGAUGGGGGACCGUGGCUUCAUGAUUAGGGACUUGCAAGAGGAAUGGAAUGUAUACUUAAUCAUGCCUGCAUUUAUGUGCAAGAAAUGCCAGCUGACAUGAGCAGGUCACUCGCACACGACACAUUGCAAAUGUUCGCAUUCACGUUGAACAAGCAAUAAGGCAUUGUGCCUAUUAAUUUGGUCCCUAAAAUGGAAAAGAAACUAAAAAUCUGUGCAGCUCUUGUAAAUCUGAGAAGAGAGCUUAUUUCUAGGAAAUAAACACAAUGACUUAACACAGUCAACAUAACUAACCACCAGUGGUGUAAUGCAACUAAUUACUGUACUGAAGUACAAAUUUGAGGUACUUGUAAUUUACUUGAGUAUUUCUAUGCUAUGCAACUUUGUACUUCUACUCCAUUACAUCUCAGAGGCAAAUAUUGUAGUUUUUACUUCACUUCAUUCGCCUGACAGUUUUAGUUGCAAGUUACUUUUCAGAUAAUUGUUCAUACCAUUCCUGUCCAGUGAAAACCGGAUGUGUUGAAUUUGAGUGUUUGUGAUAAACUGAAGGAUGAAGUGUUCCUUUAUGGGUUGAGAAAAUUCGCCUACUACUUAAUCUGAAUAAACUUUUUAAA